AGUUGAGGUAGAGGUGCGAUAGGUCAAGAGUAAAUUUGUGGAGACUUGGGAAAGUCAAUUAAACAAAUCGAAAGGGACCAUCGCCGAAGUGUGGUUUCCCCAAAGCCACGCUGGGCUUAUGCCGAAUAGGUAUAAGACUGUCACCAAAGUUUUAAUUUAACUAAGAUUUUGGUGAAGCGCUACUUCAGGA
rnacentral:ncRNA from 1 species